rnacentral:rRNA from 1 species
UAAUACGAAGGGGGCUAGCGUUACUCGGAAUUACUGGGCGUAAAGGGCGCGUAGGCGGCUCAGCCAGUCAGGCGUGAAAUUCCUGGGCUUAACCUGGGGACUGCGCUUGAUACUGCUGAGCUUGAGGUCGAGAGAGGGUGGUGGAAUUCCCAGUGUAGAGGUGAAAUUCGUAGAUAUUGGGAAGAACACCGGUGGCGAAGGCGACCACCUGGCUCGAUACUGACGCUGAGGCGCGACAGCGUGGGGAGCAAACAGGAUUAGAUACCCUGGUAGUCCACGCCGUAAACGAUGUGUGCUGGAUGUUGGGGUUCCUAGAAUCUCAGUGUCGUAGCUAACGCGGUAAGCACACCGCCUGGGGAGUACGGCCGCAAGGUUG